GGCAGUGGGGGCUUAGCGGUUAAGGCUCUGGGUUACUGAUCGGAAGGUCGGGGGUUCGAGCCCCAGCACUGCCA